GGUAACUAUAAUACUGUUAGUUUCAAACUGAGCAAAAAAUAUCAGUGGUAUGUUUAGUUGUGUGUAAAAUAUGAUUAUGAGCAUAUCAGGUAGCUCAGAGCAGUUCCAAAGACUGACAUCCAAUUUACCAGAGUGCCCAGAUACCACAAUGUGGACCAGGCCAUAUUGGGAUUUUGGAACAGGAAAUAGGAAAGUUAGAUAUACUGUGGAGAGACCGAAGCUGGUUAUGUUAGAGAAAUCUUUGUUAAGUCAUGUUGGGUGUCCUGGGAUUUGAAUUAAUCCCUUGUGUUUAUUUCCAUGUAUAACAGGUUGCAUUUAAGGAACAGUAUUUAUAGAAGUUGGCCUACCUGUUUUACUAGUUAAAUUGUUCCAGAACACUGUCUAUAAACCAUGUUUAUAGUAAAUAUCAUAUUUUAAAUAUUAGCUAAUUAUGUUAAAUUGUGUAUCUCUGUACUGCAUUGUUCAAUGACUAAACCAGUAUGUGAUUCAAAAUAGCUUUUAGUGUUAGUACUAGUGGAUUUGACAGACUUAGAGACACAAACAAGAAGAGAGUAACAGUUUUGGGACCAGGCAGUCAUUCAACAGAGAGGAUUUGGGUACACUAAAUUAAAUCUCUUGUCUGCACUGUGUGACCUUUACAAAACUGUAAACGUAUCUGACCUUGUGUUCCAUGUAUGUAAAUGAAAGUAUUGUUUUUCCUCUCCCCCUCCCCCCUCCCCGUGGCUCUAUUCAGUUACUCUAUGUGUGUUUAUGAGUGUCAGUAAGCAUAUUAUUCAGCAGGGCAAGUUUGUGGUUAAAUCUUGGAAGAGUUACUUGUCUCUUUAAAUGUAAUGAUCAUUAGAUUAUAUAAACCAGGUAAAUCAUUAAACACUCAGGAAAGGCCCCAUUAAGAAUUCAGCUUAUAUCUUGAGUCUUUGAUUUAGACUCCCUAGGUAAAGUUAGUCUUUUCGUUGUACCAUGAGUAUGUCUAUAUUCAUUAAUGCUAAUUUGCUGUUAAUAUGUCUAUCUACACACUAAUGGCCAACAUUGAGGUACUCUCCCUCCCUCUCUCCCUUCUUUCCUUUCUUCCUUUCUAUAUGUAUUAGUAUUUUGCCUGCAUAUAUGUCUGUACCAUACUACUGUCUGGUGCUCAGGAAGGCCUGAAAAGAGGGUACCCCCUGGAACUGUUACAAGUUUUCAAGUUACAGAUGGUUGUUAGUCACAUGGAGUUCAGGGAAUUGGGUCCUAGUCCUCUGGAAGAGCACCCAGUACUCUUAAGCACUGAGCCAUUUCUCCAGCUCCCUGUUCCCUUUCCUGAUAAAAGAUAAUACAGAAAAAAAGGUGAUGAGUAAUUUUCUUUAAAAAAGAAAAAGAAUGUUCUUGAUCAAUUUAUGACCACUGCCCUCCAUCAUACUAUUUUCAGUGUUACAAAAAAAAGUGCUAAUGAAGAAAACUGUCUACUACAUAUGAAUUAAAGUGCUCUUAUCUGAAACUGUAUGAAGGCAGCAUAAUGAGACCAUAAAAAUGUCAAUAUUGGGAUUAAAAGCUAUUUUAAAAGGGUAUGAGUUCAUAGUAUGGCCUGCUGUUUUGUGACCAUGUGAUAGUCAAACCAUGUUACCUCUUUGAUCUACAAAGUAGAUCAUUUGAUAGGAAUGAUUCACACGAGAUAAUACUCAUAUAAUAUUAACUCUGUGCCUGAAGAAUAGAAGAUGUUCGAAUAUUUCUUGUAUGGACUUUGUUUCAUUUAAUGUAUUAAACUGAGAAAAAUGUGUUUUAUCACAUACACCACUUUGCUUACUAUCACAAGUAGUUAUUAAAUUAUUUGGUAUUCGUGUGUAUAUGUUGAAAACACCUAAAAUACAAGCUGAUAAUUAACUAAGUCAUUUUUCUUCCAUUAUGUUGUUGGUGCAAGGAAAAGAACAGCUGUUGAUUGUACACAAAUGGUAUAUCUGAAAAUUAAGUUUAGGUAAUCACAUAAGACAGAAGUGCUCGCUCGGUGCCUCUGCAUCACCAAAAACUUGAGAAAUGCUCAGAAAACCUUGGAAGCCAUCAGAGUCUUCUCUGAUUUCUUUUUCUUUAUGAGAUGUGGAGAAACAAUGACUCCUGACACAAAAUCAACCACUAGAUGCCUUUUAAUUCGUUGUUGUGAAAUAUACACAUUUAUUAUAGGCAUUUUGUUCAAAGGGCCUCUUAGUUACUAUUUUCAAGCAACUUUUUUUUUCUUUUUCUUUUUUUUCUUUCUUUUUUUUUUUUUUCUUUUUUUUUUUUGAGACAGGGUUUCUCUGUGCAGCACUGGCUGUCCUGGAAAUCACUUUGUAGACCAGGCUGGCCUAGAACUCAGAAAUCUGCCUGCCUCUGCCUCCCGAGUACUGGGAUUAAAGGCAUGCGCCACCAUGCCCGGCUUUUCAAGCAACUUUUUAAAAUCCUCUAUACAUGUGAUUCCUACACACUUCACACCCUUUUACUAAAUAGACAUUUUCUUCCAACCUUGUUUUGUAUUUUCAUUCUGACUUGUUUUCCCAAUUAUCAGCUAUUGAUUAGGCUACCAAAUCCCCAAAUAUUAGCUUAAACAGGGCAUAUUUAUUCUUUAAACUCUGACAUAGAGUUACUAAGCUAGUUUUGUGGCUCUUAUAUUUUUAUUAAAGAGAGAUCAUGAUAGUAAUGACCAAAGCACUAGCACUUUGUAGCCAGUGUUCAGGAAUGGUCAACGAAAUGAACAGAUUGUCCUUCCAGUGCAAUUUCCUAGCUCCAGAUCCAGAUGUUAGACAAGUAGGUACACAACCAUUUACAAAGAAAGGGAAAUCCCUUCUUCCAGAGGUUAAAACACACCCACAUUUCCCCCCCCCCCCCACACACACACACAAACAGUACUGACUCUGGAGCAUGAUGAUAUGCAGCUAUGACCCUUGCCAAUGGUCUCUGGGAGUUUAAGCACAAGAGCUGGGGUGUGGUAUGAUCCAAGAAAAAUGGAUUGACCAAGCUAAAGCCAUGGAAGAUAUAGCCUCAUAAAGAGAAUGAAUAGAGUUCUACAGUCCAGGAGAACUUUAAAACUUAGGAAACAUCAAGUCACUUUCUGAUUAACAGGGCUCUAUAAUAUGCCACAUAUAUGGGAUGUUUAAUUAUAUUCAUGAUACUUAAUUGAAAAAAUGUUAUAUACUGUAUCUUGUCUUUCCUGGGUACCUUGUAGUCCCCUUUUCUAGUUUAAGGUACCUUUCUGUAGUAAUAAACUAUACUGGCAGUGUAACCAUAUAUCCAAUUUCUAUGAGCCACUGACCUGGACAGUGAUCUUGAGAGAACUAAUAGAACUAUAUAAACUACUUAACUAUUUGAGGAGCAAUAGAGAUCAUAUGUGACCUGCAGGGCUUAAAAUAUCUGCUAUCUGGUUUUUGUAGGAGUUUGAACACUUGGCUUCUAGUUGGUGAUUUGUUUGGGAAGGUUAUAAAAUCUUUAGGAGAAGAUAGAGCUAUGUUGGAAGAAGUGGGUCACUAGGAGUGGUCUAAAGAUGUUAUAGCCCUUCCCACUUCCUGCUCACUCUCAGCUUCCUGACUUGAUGCAGUGUAACUUGCUGCUGUCUCAGGCUCCUGCCACCUUGACUUCCCUACCAUGAUGUACCCUCUAGCUUUGAGCUAAAUAAAACCUUAAAUUGUUUUGUUUAGGUAGUUUUUCACAACAACAAGAAAACAAAGUUUUCUUUUUCUCUAAAUCAGGAAGUAUCAGGGCUGGCCUGAUAGCUUAAUGGGUUAAACCUGUUUAUUGACUCUAAGGACAUGGGUCUUGUAGUUCAAACACUCAGAAAGAUGGAAGAGAGGACCAACACCAUGACUUAAUGGGUUAGACUGUUCGUUUUACCAUGCUGAAGACCUGAGUUCUAACCUUCAACCUUCAAACAAACAUUAAGGUGGAAGGAGAGAACCAAUGGCACAGAGAUGUCUUCUAAUCCCA
rnacentral:lncRNA from 1 species